ACCUUUAAAGAUUGUUAUUUGAUCAAUAAAUGUUGAUGGGCAAAGUAGACUAAUAGUGUUAUCUAUUAAAUAGGCCUACACAAAACCCUUGUAUGAAAAACAUAUUUAAAAAAAGGACCAGAUAUGGCUGUCAUGCCAUAAAAUAUGUUUUAAUAUGACUGGCUUUGUAUUUAAUGUGAAUUUAGUACUAAGUUGCUAAUUAAUUAAUGCUUUCAAUUAACAGAAGGCAAACAUACACUAGCAAAGAAAAUUUUAAUUCAGUCUGCUCUAGCCAGAGUUCAGGUACCCGCAAAAACUCCCAUUAAAAUCAGUGAAGCUGUUUACAUUGUGAAAUGAAUAACUUAUUCUUAUGCACAUCUGCACUUUAUUGUUUCUGAUGAGAGAAUUCAACAGGUAAUAUAGUCAGCGAGCAAGUGAGCAACAGCGAUGACCCACAUGAACGUCAAUGAUUGGCCAUUGCAUUAAUAAGCUCGUGUAUGAUUGGUUAUAAUUCACCGCUGUACAACGCUUCUCACUCUGGCUCAGCACCAGCCAAAGAGCGAGCAGUUUUGAAUUUAGCAGCUGAUGCUUUGCACGCUGAAUUCUUAUCACACAGGUGUGUUCCUAUGAUAAUAUAAAAUAUAUUAUACGGCUAUAUUUUGUCUUUUGGAAGCUGCAUUGAAAAUCCACUUGGCAUGAAAAUCUGUGGAGCACGUGCCCCCUCACUUUAAAUGGGCAUGCCGCUUCUGAUUACAGAGAACGUCAUCCUAGUGUCACAGACGGCGCAUGUGAAAUGUGUGUUCAGAGCAGAGAACAGCGGCCUUAUCACGUCCUCCUUCUGUCCAGUGCCUCAAGGGGACGGAUUCUAUUGUUUCUAGAAAAAGACCAGUCCCAAACUGCCAUUCAGCACCUUGGAGAGCAGCAGCAUGCUUUCUUUGAAGUGCAGAUUGUAAGAGAUUGUGCUAAUUCAGCAUUUAUUGACCUUCAUGUCUGCAUAAAUACUCAUAGACAUGCAUUAUAGACUCACUCACCUAUUGUUCUUUCUUAUGUCUGUGUGAAAGAAUGUCUUUAAUAGAAUUGAUUGCUGCAAAUGAACCACCAUCACCAUGCCUGUAAAAAUGUUUGUCAUAUUGCAUAAAUAUGUAUGAUGAAUGUAAACAGCAUAGGGUAAUUCCCAGUUAAUAAACCAUGGAAAGGCAUAGGUGGUGAAAUUUACAUUUCAAAGGAAUGUUCUACAUAGUGAUCAUAGACAAUAUAC